CUACGGGACGCACCAGUGAGGAAUAUUGCACAAUGGGGGGAACCCUGAUGCAGCAACGCCGCGUGGAGGAUGACGCAUUUCGGUGUGUAAACUCCUUUUAUAUGUCAAGAAAAUGACGGUAGCAUAUGAAUAAGCACCGGCUAACUCCGUGCCAGCAGCCGCGGUAAUACGGAGGGUGCAAGCGUUACUCGGAAUCACUGGGCGUAUAGGACGCGUAGGCGGGUUGGAAAGUCAGGUGUGAAAUCCUACAGCUUAACUGUAGAACUGCACUUGAAACUUCUAAUCUAGAGUAUGGGAGGGGGAGAUGGAAUUAGUGGUGUAGGGGUAAAUCCGUAGAUAUCACUAGGAAUACCUAAAGCGAAGGCGAUCUCCUGGAACAUUACUGACGCUAAGGCGUGAAAGCGUGGGGAGCAAACAGGAUUAGAUACCCGCGUAGUC
rnacentral:rRNA from 1 species